rnacentral:rRNA from 1 species
GACGAACGCUGGCGGCGUGCUUAACACAUGCAAGUCGAGCGGUAAGGCUCCUUCGGGAGUACACGAGCGGCGAACGGGUGAGUAACACGUGAGCAAUCUGCCCUUCACAUGGGAAUAACUUCGGGAAACCGAAGCUAAUACCGAAUACGACCACCGAUGGCAUCUUCUGGUGGUGGAAAGUUCCGGCGGUGAAGGAUGAGCUCGCGGCCUAUCAGCUUGUUGGUGAGGUAAUGGCCCACCAAGGCGACGACGGGUAGCCGGCCUGAGAGGGUGACCGGCCACACUGGGACUGAGACACGGCCCAGACUCCUACGGGAGGCAGCAGUGGGGAAUAUUGGACAAUGGGCGAAAGCCUGAUCCAGCAACGCCGCGUGAGGGAUGACGGCCU